UACGUAGGGGGGCUAGCGUUGUCCGGAAUCAUUGGGCGUAAAGCGCGUGUAGGCGGCCCGGUAAGUCCGCUGUGAAAGUCGGGGGCUCAACCCUCGAAAGCCGGUGGAUACUGUCGGGCUCGAGUGCGGAAGAGGCGAGUGGAAUUCCUGGUGUAGCGGUGAAAUGCGCAGAUAUCAGGAGGAACACCGAUUGCGAAGGCAGCUCGCUGGGACGUUACUGACGCUGGAGACGCGGAAAGCG
rnacentral:rRNA from 1 species